UACGUAGGCAGCGAGCGCUGUUCGGAGUUACUGGGCGUAAAGCGUGCGUAGGCGGUUGUCUAAGUUUGGUGUGAAAUCUCCUGGCUUAACUGGGAGGGUGCGCCGAAAACUGGGUGACUGGAGUGUCGGAGAGGUAAGCGGAAUUCCUGGUGUAGCGGUGAAAUGCGUAGAGAUCAGGAGGAACACCUGUGGUGUAGACAGCUUACUGGACGAUAACUGACGCUGAGGCACGAAAGCGUGGGUAGCAAACAGG
rnacentral:rRNA from 1 species